AACGAACGCUGGCGGCAUGCCUAACACAUGCAAGUCGAACGAAACCUUCGGGCUUGCUGGCGCCCGGGUUCGUAAAGCGUGGGAACCUGCCCUUAGGUUCGGAAUAGCUCCCCGAAAUGGGUGCUAAUACCGGAUAAUGUCAUCGGACCGAAGCUUUAUCGGCUGUGGAUGGGCCCGCGUUGGUUUAGCUGGUUGGUAGGGUAAAAGCCUACCAAGGCGACGAUCCAUAGCUGGUCUGUGAGGAUGAUCAGCCACACUGGGACUGAGACACGGCCCAGACGCCUACGAGAGGCAGCAGUGGUGAAUAUUGGAGAAUGGGCGAGAGGCUGAGCCAGCAAGGCCGCGUGGGUGAUGAAGGCCUUAGGGUUGUAAAGCGCUUGUACCCGGGAUGAUAAUGACAGUACCGGGAUAAGAAGCUCCGGCUAACUCCGUG
rnacentral:rRNA from 1 species